rnacentral:piRNA from 1 species
UGGGGUCAUGUAACACUAUUCCCCAGC